CAAGAUGAGCCCAAGGAUGCUGCUAGAGGGACAGGUGAGCUUGAGCCUGGGCCUGAAGCUCUCUCAGUGUCUGGGGGGAAGCAAGCUUCUUCUAUCUCCAUUGCAUUCACCAGCACGGUUUGUACAAAUCUCUGAAGACCUGAAGAUAGAAUCUCAUCCUCUGUACUGCCAGGAUGUAGACAGAGGAUUGUUUUCCAAACCACAAGCUUCAAAUUUACCAAAAUUGGGUAUCACAAGGAACAAACUCAGCUUAAUUCUUCAUGGAAGCAUAAGCCCAGGAAAGGCCACAAGAAAGAAAAAAGGAUGGGUGGAGGAAGGGCAAAGGACAGAAGGAAGGAAGGAAGAAGGAAAAUUGUUGCCUAUUUAGACUCUUAGCUGCUUACCGAAAAAUCGCUUCUCAGCAGAAGACUGUCUGAGCAGCAGUGUGGACUGGAAUAAACUCAUUUGGAAUUGUC